rnacentral:rRNA from 1 species
UACAGAGGUGGCAAGCGUUGUUCGGAAUUACUGGGCGUAAAGCGUGCGCAGGCGGUUUUGUAAGCCAGAUGUGAAAUCCCCGGGCUUAACCUGGGAAUGGCAUUUGGGACUGCAAGGCUGGAGUGUGGCAGAGGAGACUGGAAUUCCUGGUGUAGCAGUGAAAUGCGUAGAUAUCAGGAGGAAUACCGAUGGCGAAGGCAGGUCUCUGGGCUGACACUGACGCUGAUGCGCGAAAGCCAGGGGAGCGAACGGG